rnacentral:rRNA from 1 species
AGAGUUUGAUCCUGGCUCAGAACGAACGCUGGCGGCAGGCUUAACACAUGCAAGUUGAACGUGAUUUGUUGGGUGCUUGCACCGAGCAAUGAAAGUAGCGCACUGGUGAGUAACACGUGGGAACGUACCUUUUGGUGGGGAACAACAGUUGGAAACGACUGCUAAUACCGCAUAAGCCCUGAGGGGGAAAGAUUUAUCGCCGAAAGAACGGCCCGCGGAAGAUUAGGUAGUUGGUGGGGUAACGGCCUACCAAGCCGACGAUCUAUAGCUGGUCUGAGAGGACGAUCAGCCACAUUGGAACUGAGACACGGUCCAAACUCCUACGGGAGGCAGCAGUGAGGAAUAUUGGGCAAUGGAGGCAACUCUGACCCAGCCAUGCCGCGUGAGUGAAGAAGGUUUUCGGAUUGUAAAGCUCUUUCGGGUGUGACGAUGAUGACGGUAGCACCUAAAGAAGCCCCGGCUAACUUCGUGCCAGCAGCCGCGGUAAUACGAAGGGGGCAAGCGUUGUUCGGAAUUACUGGGCGUAAAGGGAGUGUAGGCGGUUAUGUAAGAUAGUGGUGAAAUCCCAGAGCUUAACUUUGGAAUUGCCAUUAUGACUAUGUGGCUAGAAUUACAGAGAGGAUAGUGGAAUACCCAGUGUAGAGGUGAAAUUCGUAGAUAUUGGGUAGAACACCAGUGGCGAAGGCGACUAUCUGGCUGUAUAUUGACGCUGAGGCUCGAAAGCAUGGGGAUCAAACAGGAUUAGAUACCCUGGUAGUCCAUGCUGUAAACGAUGAGUGCUUGUUGUCGGUAUUGUAUCGGUGACGAAGUUAACGCGUUAAGCACUCCGCCUGGGGAGUACGGUCGCAAGAUUAAAACUCAAAGGAAUUGACGGGGACCCGCACAAGCGGUGGAUGAUGUGGAUUAAUUCGAUGCAACGCGAAAAACCUUACCUACCCUUGACAUGUCAGGAAGCUCUUGUAAUGAGAGCGUGCCCGCAAGGGAGCCUGAACACAGGUGCUGCAUGGCUGUCGUCAGCUCGUGUCGUGAGAUGUUGGGUUAAGUCCCGCAACGAGCGCAACC